rnacentral:lncRNA from 1 species
UGCUCAUCUGCUUUUUAAACUCUCUGGAUCUCUCAUUAAGCAAUAAUCUGACAUUAUCGGAUUUGUCAUGCUUAAAUUUUGCCUUUACCUGAUGAAAUGCAUCCCUUUUCCCUCGACAAGCUCUAUCAAACCAAGGUUUAUUACUAUUACUCGAUUUAUAUGAACGAAUAUUCGAGUUGCCCAAUACACUACUGGCUGUCUGGGUCAACACAUUGCCAAG